rnacentral:lncRNA from 1 species
GUUGGCAUUAGGAAGGAUAUCCAGUCAUAGAAACCAAUGCAGAACAGACAACUGGAGCCUGGUGCAGGUCUCUGGCUUACCAGCUCCAGUCAAACCGUCUAACCCAUGCCAGCAUGGAAAAUGGACACCAGAUACAGAGGAUGAUGAUGCAGCAGCAACUAUUCUCAGAUCUACAUACUGAGAGAAUCACAAAAACAAAUAUAUAUAUAUAUAUGGAUGCAGACAUGGUCAGGUGCAGCUGUGUGGUUGAGAUGUUUGCUUCCCAUCUACAUGGAACCUUGGGGCAAGUGCCUUCUACUAUAGCCCUGGGCCUUUUAUGCUUGAUAAAUUCGCUGGAGCACCACAAUGAAAAAUCUAAACAUAAAAAAGUCCAAUUUGCAGAGCAGCACUACAAAUUGUUUUUUAACUACCACCUACCAACAAAAAAUGAAUAAAGAAAAGCUGGGAAAAUAGAAUGAUCUAAAAAUAUGUAUACAUAGGUACAUAUGUACACACACAUAUCCAUACAUAAGUGCAAACAUAACAGGCUGGAUCUCAAUAUUUGAGUCACAAAAGAAAAGUAUGUAUUGUCACAGAGAUCAGCUUCUAUACACAGAUUACAAAUUCAUAUUGAUACCAAUAAUAGUAGGUGCACUUGGUUUUGUGAAUAAAUGCCUAAGUGAUAAUUUGGAAAGGCUAGGACUUUUCAGAAAAAUCAACCAGCUAACAUGCAUAUUGCAAAUAUAAUCUGUAAAUGGAACAGUAAAAAUAUGCAAAACUUUUCUUAAAUUUAAAACGUGACAUUUUUUUAUCUACAUUCCAAAGAUGGAGCUUUGUAUCAUCAUUAAACAUCAGUUCCUUACAGGAAAACUCCAAAUAAUAUCAGCAGUAGCCACUACUGUCACACCAUACACUACACACUGUUCCUGCUGAAUGCCAAGAGCCUCAUAAUAUUCCACCAUAAUAUAAACCCCCAUACCUGAGAGACCCAGUUACAAGUAAUCAAGCAAUAUGCAUAGCACUGACAGAAACCUAUCUGACCACUAUGCCUGAUGAAUUCUUCAGCACCACAGCUCUACAUGAAGGAAUGAUAAUUAUCAAUUACAUCAAAAUAGGAAUGCCCAUUGAUGAAAUGAGCUUAAACUCAGCCUCUGGGACUGAUAGAUUACCAGCAAUCCUCAUUAAAAAAAUGUAAAAAGACCCUAGCAAGAUUACAGCAAAUCCUCUUUCAAAGCUUCCUUGCAAGUGGAGAAAAUUAAAGGAGGGCAUAUGUGCAGAAAAUUAAAGGAUGGCAUAAUAUGUGCUGUCUAUAAAAGAGAAAGCAAAGCAGACGCUAAAAAUUAAAGGUCCCAUAAACUAUCUACAGUAAGGAUCAGUUACUGCAAUACCUUGGGAUUCAAAGGCUCAGAUCUUUUUUAAUAUAUUGCUAAAAAAACCUGUGAGAUCUAUACAGAGUUGGGGGCAGAUGAUUUCAAGAAACACCUUGAUCAUGUGCAGUCAAAACUCCUAGAUGAACCUACAUUAUGGCAAGAAACUCAAAAGAGGGCAACAGUAUUAAACUCUCUCCUUCACCAAGAGCCAACCAGAUGAGACAAGAUUAGUUUGAAUGAGAUGCAGUUUGGCUUUGUCUCAGGAAGAGAUACAACUGAUGCCAUAUUCCGAGUGAAACAAUACAAGAGAUGUACCUAACAAGAGUGAGUACAUAUAUCUAACAGUGAAUGAUCUGGAUAGAGUCCUUUACUUUGUGAUAUCAGUAGUUGCUAAGAAAACUAGGGCUAGAUGAAUGGCUUAUAAGGACUGUACAAGCUGUGUAAAAGGUGGCAGUCACCAAGGUGAGAGUCAGCAAUGAAUUUAGCAUGUAGGUAGAGGUCUGUCAAGGCCCAGUUCUAAGCCUUAUUCUUGUUUAUCAUAACCCUCUAAGCCAUAACAGAAGAACUUAAGACUGGUUGCCUUUGGAAACUUCUGUACGCUGAUGACUUAGCACUUGUGGUAGAAUCUGAAGAAGAACUGAAGCAGAAAUGUCAGAGAUGGAAGCAAAACCUGAAAUCAAAGAAUCUUGCAGCACAUUUAGCAAAAACAAAAAUUUUAGCAAGCAGAAAGGAAGAUAGGCACUUUAUAGCAUCAAGGAGCAGGCUGUAUUCUGUUUACAGAAAAGAAACCAGUAGAAAUUCUAUUGAGGUGUCCCCAGUGUAAGUAAUGGAUACCCAAGAAGUAUAGUCAGAUCACAUGCAGGCUAACAGGGAAGUUAGGUUUCAUAUGCACUGGGUGCAAAAAGACAAUAAGUACUAAAAGCACUUGGAAAAUAGAUUCCCCUCAAGAAUUAGACAAUAGCUUUUGUUACCUAAUUAGCAGUGAAAGCUGCUGUUGUUCUGAAAGUAUGGUAGCUAGAAUACGAAUGGGAUGGAGAAAGUUCAGAGUACUAUUAUUCCUGAUAGCAACAAAGGCCUUGGAUGGAGAAAAUUCAGAGUACUAUUAUUCCUGAUAGCAACAAAAGCCUUGGAUGGAGAAAAUUCAGAGUACUAUUGCUCCUGAUA